UACGGGGGGUGCGAGCGUUGUCCGGAAUUACUGGGCGUAAAGAGCUCGUAGGUGGUUUGUCGCGUUGUCCGUGAAAACUCACAACUCAAUUGUGGGCGUGCGGGCGAUACGGGCAGACUGGAGUACUGCAGGGGAGACUGGAAUUCCUGGUGUAGCGGUGGAAUGCGCAGAUAUCAGGAGGAACACCGGUGGCGAAGGCGGGUCUCUGGGCAGUAACUGACGCUGAGGAGCGAAAGCGUGGGGAGCGAACAGG
rnacentral:rRNA from 1 species